UACGGAGGGUGCAAGCGUUACCCGGAUUCAUUGGGGUUAAAGGGUGCGUAGGUGGGCAAGUAAGUCAGUGGUGAAAUCUCCGGGCUUAACCCGGAAACUGCCAUUGAUACUAUUUGUCUUGAAUACUGUGGAGGUCAGCGGAAUAUGUCAUGUAGCGGUGAAAUGCUUAGAUAUGACAUAGAACACCAAUUGCGAAGGCAGCUGGCUGCACAAAUAUUGACACUGAGGCACGAAAGCGUGGGGAUCAAACAGG
rnacentral:rRNA from 1 species